rnacentral:rRNA from 1 species
CUCAGGAUGAACGCUGGCGGCGUGCCUAAUACAUGCAAGUCGAGCGAACAGAUGAGAAGCUUGCUUCUCUGAUGUUAGCGGCGGACGGGUGAGUAACACGUGGGUAACCUACCUAUAAGACUGGGAUAACUCCGGGAAACCGGGGCUAAUACCGGAUAAUAUUUUGAACCGCAUGGUUCAAUAGUGAAAGACGGUUUCGGCUGUCACUUAUAGAUGGACCCGCGCCGUAUUAGCUAGUUGGUAAGGUAACGGCUUACCAAGGCGACGAUACGUAGCCGACCUGAGAGGGUGAUCGGCCACACUGGAACUGAGACACGGUCCAGACUCCUACGGGAGGCAGCAGUAGGGAAUCUUCCGCAAUGGGCGAAAGCCUGACGGAGCAACGCCGCGUGAGUGAUGAAGGUCUUCGGAUCGUAAAACUCUGUUGUUAGGGAAGAACAAAUUUGUUAGUAACUGAACAAGUCUUGACGGUACCUAACCAGAAAGCCACGGCUAACUACGUGCCAGCAGCCGCGGUAAUACGUAGGUGGCAAGCGUUAUCCGGAAUUAUUGGGCGUAAAGCGCGCGUAGGCGGUUUCUUAAGUCUGAUGUGAAAGCCCACGGCUCAACCGUGGAGGGUCAUUGGAAACUGGGAAACUUGAGUGCAGAAGAGGAGAGUGGAAUUCCAUGUGUAGCGGUGAAAUGCGCAGAGAUAUGGAGGAACACCAGUGGCGAAGGCGGCUCUCUGGUCUGUAACUGACGCUGAUGUGCGAAAGCGUGGGGAUCAAACAGGAUUAGAUACCCUGGUAGUCCACGCCGUAAACGAUGAGUGCUAAGUGUUAGGGGGUUUCCGCCCCUUAGUGCUGCAGCUAACGCAUUAAGCACUCC